AAUGAUGGAAUGACUCUCGGCAACGGAUAUCUCGGCUCUCGCAUCGAUGAAGAACGUAGCGAAAUGCGAUACGUGGUGUGAAUUGCAGAAUCCCGUGAACCAUCGAGUUUUUGAACGCAAGUUGCGCCCGAGGCCAUUCGGCCGAGGGCACGCCUGCCUGGGCGUCAGUU
rnacentral:rRNA from 1 species